GGAAUAUAAGAACUCGUCUCUUAACUUUUAACUAAAAAGGCUAAGAACCGGCUCUUACAUAAGAGUUUUAAGAACCGGUUCUUAACUUUUUUAGUUAAAAGUUAAGAGACGGAUUCUUAUAUUCC
rfam:Brassica napus, WGS project CCCW01000000 data, contig: 20767